rnacentral:antisense_RNA from 1 species
UUGCCAUAAUUCACCUCUCUAGCAGGUGGGAUGUGGAAGUGUCGGCCGGCCUGCAACGCCGGCCGAUGCGCCU